rnacentral:rRNA from 1 species
GACGAACGCUGGCGGCGUGCCUAACACAUGCAAGUCGAGCGGGGUUGAAGCGAGGGGUAACUCGAGUUUCUACCUAGCGGCGGACGGGUGAGUAACGCGUGGGCAACCUGCCUCAAGGACUGGGAUAACAGCUCGAAAGGGCUGCUAAUACCGGAUAAGCCUAUGGCCUCGCAUGGGGCCAUGAGCAAAGGGGAAACCCGCCUUGAGAUGGGCCCGCGUCCCAUCAGCUAGUUGGUGAGGUGAAGGCUCACCAAGGCGACGACGGGUAGCCGGCCUGAGAGGGUGACCGGCCACACUGGGACUGAGACACGGCCCAGACCUCCUACGGGGGGCAGCAGUGGGGAAUCUUGCACAAUGGGCGAAAGCCUGAUGCAGCGACGCCGCGUGAGCGAAGAAGGCCUUCGGGUUGUAAGCUCUGUCUGGAGGGACGAAGGAAGUGACGGUACCUCCGGAGGAAGCCACGGCUAACUACGUGCCAGCAGCCGCGGUAAGAGUCACGUCGCG